UAGGUGACAAGCGUUGUCCGGAUUUACUGGGUGUAAAGGGCGCGUAGGCGGAAUGUCAAGUCAGUCGUGAAAUACCGAAGCUUAACUUCGGGGCUGCGAUUGAAACUGACAGCCUUGAGUAUCGGGGAGGAAAGCGGAAUUCCUAGUGUAGCGGUGAAAUGCGUAGAUAUUAGGAGGAACACCAGUGGCGAAGGCGGCUUUCUGGACGACAACUGACGCUGAGGCGCGAAAGUGUGGGGAGCAAA
rnacentral:rRNA from 1 species